UACAGAGGUCUCAAGCGUUGUUCGGAUUCAUUGGGCGUAAAGGGUGUGUAGGUGGCGCCGUAAGUCGGGUGUGAAAUUUCGGAGCUUAACUCCGAAACUGCAUUCGAUACUGCCGGUGCUUGAGGACUGGAGAGGAGACUGGAAUUCAUGGUGUAGCAGUGAAAUGCGUAGAGAUCAUGAGGAAGACCAGUGGCGAAGGCGGGUCUCUGGACAGUUCCUGACACUGAGACACGAAGGCCAGGGGAGCAAACGGG
rnacentral:rRNA from 1 species